CAGUAGCCGCGGGAAUACGAAGGGUGCAAGCGUUAAUCGGAAUUACUGGGCGUAAAGCGCGCGUAGGUGGUUUGGUAAGAUGGAUGUGAAAUCCCCGGGCUCAACCUGGGAACUGCAUCCAUAACUGCCUGACUAGAGUACGGUAGAGGGUGGUGGAAUUUCCUGUGUAGCGGUGAAAUGCGUAGAUAUAGGAAGGAACACCAGUGGCGAAGGCGACCACCUGGACUGAUACUGACACUGAGGUGCGAAAGCGUGGGGAGCAAACAGGAUUAGAUACCCGGGUAGUCCCUGUCUCUUAUAC
rnacentral:rRNA from 1 species